rnacentral:rRNA from 1 species
UCCUGCCUACGGGGCGCAGCAGUGAGGAAUAUUGGUCAAUGGUCGGGAGACUGAACCAGCCAAGCCGCGUGAGGGAUGAAGGUACAGAGUAUCGUAAACCUCUUUUGUCAGGGAACAAAGGCGGGGACGCGUCCCCGGAUGAGUGUACCUGAAGAAAAAGCAUCGGCUAACUCCGUGCCAGCAGCCGCGGUAAUACGGAGGAUGCGAGCGUUAUCCGGAUUUAUUGGGUUUAAAGGGUGCGCAGGCGGUCUGUUAGGUCAGC